UAGCUGUGAGGAUUUAUGUGCUAAUAGAUGGAGAGGGGUCCAUCAUUGUCAUCUGACCCAAGAUGAAAAUAUGCACAUCUGAGCUU